UGGACGUACGAGCGAGCUUUUCGGCUCGGCCCGAAGCUCGCUCCAGCUCGGCCCGUUACAGCUCGGCUCGAUAGGAUUAUCGAGCGGGCCGAGGUCUGAAAACAGGCCCGUUUCGCGACCGAGCCGAGCCGAGUUUCGGCCGGUCCAGCUCGGUGGCUCGCUUGUGGCCCAGCCCAAUUCCACCAUCGAUCACAAUAGCUAGCGCAUUAGGGCACGAGCAACCACAGCCAGAGUCUCUCGUCUCUCCCUUUCUCUGCUCUGCGCCGCCUCACCUCUCUCUCGCCACGCUGCAAAUCUGGAUCGACGGCGACGAGCGACGCCGCGCUUCCUCGCCAACUCGGCACCGACGGCGACGGGCGGCGCGACCGUUCCUCGCCACACCGGACAUAGUCGGACGCGCCUCCCCUGGUUUCUCGCGGAACGUGACGAGCCGGAGCAGACGCCUAUCGUCGCAACAAUGGACAAGCAAAAGGGGAAGGCGAGUGGGAAGGAGAAGGAGAAAGAGAGGACGUUGGACUCCAUUAUGAAGAGAAAGUUGCCGAGCUCGGGGAUGCAGAAGGGGAAUGGGAAGGGCAAUGCAGCAGCUACUACACGGCUGCCGAGGAAGCUGACAAAUGAUUCCAGCAAUGUCCCAAUCGCUGAGUUGUUGUAUAGGGUAAAAAAGAAACCUCCGCCUUGACGUCUCCCUAACCCCACCGGCGCUGGCGUGCGUGCCGGAAUCGCCGUUGCCUCCGGCUCUGCAAACUACUAUGAGAGGGAGGCUACAUCUUCGCAGGCAAUGAAGCAUGAUAAGCAAGCGGAGGAGGAUCAUGAAGAGGUGGAAGAGGACGAGGAGGAGGACGAGGAAGAGCAAGAUACUUUGUUUGAGGUGCCGCCUGGGGUUGGUGACAAAUCAGAUUCAGAUGGGUUUGUGGAUAGUGAAGAAGAAGCCUUCGAAGGUGAUAAGCAAGUGAAGAAGAAGCCUUCGAAGGUGAUGUAAUGUCCGAGAACUUAGAUAUGUCUACUUGUGUGGUUUUAGAUGACUACAGGAGUUCUUUGAAACCAGAAAUGGUCGAAGCCUUGGUGUGUGGUGCUAGUUAUAUCAAAGGUUCUCACAAGGACUUCAAUGUGGUGGAGAGGGAUGAAGAUGAGGAGGACGAUGUUGAGAAUAUCAAGUUGCCCAAGAUUGUUGAUGUGGGGGUGACAACAAUUGAUAUUCGCCAUGUGGGUGUUGCUCUUGAUAUUUUGAAGAUGGAUGUCUACAUGAUCUUCUCAUGUGGAUUGUUGAGGUCAACGUGAUAAUUUCGUGCCAUUCUUUUGUUGUGAUGAACUUCGAAUUAUGUGUGCUGUUGUGAUGAACUAUGGACCUUGAAUGAUGUUGUGAUGAACCAUGCACUUUCAACAAUGUUGUUGUGAACUUGUGAUGAACUAUGAACUUUGGAUUAUGUGGUUUUCACUAGUCAUUGUUUGGCUGUCAA